ACCCUUUUGAAAGCACUCAUUGGGCCGUUGACUAGUGACCCACUGAGCCAUUAAGAAAGGGCAAAGUAAAAACAUCAUUUUUGGGUGAAGCAGCAGCAUGUUGUGUUGUUUGGCUUCAAUUAGUGGUGUAUCAAGG